rnacentral:lncRNA from 1 species
AGAUAGAGAGUUUGUUUCCAAUAGACCAUCUGCUCAGAAAAGCAUACGCACCACAUUAAUAAAUGAGAAAACACCGAUAAGCCAUGCAAAAGCAACAUAAAUAAUAAGAAAAUAGUGAGAUGACCGAAAUGCAAGUAACGACGGGUAGUCAUAGAAACCUGCUACCAACAGAAAGUGAGUACGUACUAAUAGUACCGAUAUAAACAAUCUAGCCUACUUCACCUACUACCCCAAUCUUCAGCCUCCACACCUUCCUAUCAAGGGCCAUGUCCUCGAUCAGCAUACAUAAAACAAAAGGAAGUACGAUAUAUAUAUAUAUAUGAGUUAAGUUAUAUAUAUGUACUGUCAAAGUAAAAAUAAGUUGUCUUUAUAUAGCAAGUAAUGUUAUUUUAUUUUUUAAGACUACAAAAUAUAUAUAUAAAUAAUUUUUGAGUAACCUAAUAAUAUAAAGAAUUUACUACAUUAAUAUGUAUACAGUAUAACUUAAAUUUUAACAAAACAGUUCCAAACUUUUGUAGAAGACUAGUGUUCACUAUUAGUAAACCGGCAAAAUUCGUUUACAGAAUACCAAUCAAAGUCGGUCGGAUCAAUUGGAAAUUAAGUAAAUUGGUUGUAAAAGCCAAAGAAAUUAUUUUUGACAACGGAAAUAGUUGCCCCAUAACAAAAAAAUAAAAAUUUCGAUCGAUUUCGAUCGGAACUUGGUAAAUAUUUGAUUAAGACCUGGUCAUAUUUGUAUAUUAUCAACAAAAAUAAUUUUCUGUUAAUACUUUUAAAAAUUUUUAAUCGGAAUAUUUGAAAUUAUGCUUUUCCACCCAAGGCAAUUGUGUUUUAAUAUAACAAAAAUUUUAUAUAUAUAGCCAACCGGAAUAAGUUAUAAUUAAAUAUUUCUGACCGAGUCGAUCAAAAGCACAAUUUCAAAAUAAUUAAAAUAUAACCGGCCAAAGCCGGUCGAUUUUCGUCAACUGUUAUAUAAAUAGCUUUUAAAUAAAUAAUACUUAAUACUUAACUGAAUAUAUAUAUAUAUAUUAGAUCUAGUAUUAUAUUAAUACUUAAGUUGUAGAAACAACAACAUUUACAUGUGUUAUAGUAAGAUUUAAUCGAACGAUUUGUUAUACAUCUUGAUUUAUUCUUGUAAUUUUAUUUAACGUUCUCGUCUAAUAUGAUAAUGUGAAGGACUAUCAAAAAGUGUAAACAAUUACUAAACGGAAGAAUAGGAUUGAAGGAUCCAUAUGCGAAGCUUAUCCUACAAAGAAAACUGCCCAUUUUGAUUUUUACUACUUUGACAGUCAUGUACCAUGUGCUAUAAAUAAGCUCAAUCGGCGCAAUGUUGUGAUUAAUAUUGAUCAAACAUAUCUACCAUUGUCCAUAGAUAAUCAGCCAGGCUGAGGUUCUAAAGAUCGAACAAAAAAGGGGCCUAAGUAGUAUGGAGUAGAGAUCAGCUUCAAAUUAUGUGUUGCUAAAUUGCCGGGAAGUUCAACCCUUUCUUAAUUAAGUAUCGAAGUAAGAUUAAUUUAUAUGGAAUAUUAUUUAAUUUGGUUGAUUCAACUAACAAAAUAAUUUUCAAUACAUCACUCAGUGCCUUCAUGAGUCAGUUUGGCCAUGGUAUUGUAUAUUCUACAUUUGAGCCAUGGUGUAAAGAGUGUGUAAAUGCAUCUUACAUACUUUCUAACAUGUGAAUAUAUACACUUGUGAAUAUACUUUCUCACUUGUGAUUUAUUUAACACUACAUAUAGGUCAAUAAUCCAAACAACGAUAUUAAUUAAUUUUUGAAAGACAUCUCUUGGGUACUUGUACCUACGAUUAUGACUAUGUCUAAGUAUUGUGGGAAUGGUUACAAAUUUCAUAUUGUGAAAGGCUCCAAGUAUAAGAAAAGCAAUAACAAUGGGGUGUAUGUCAAAGGUGAUGAAGGCAACCAGGAUGGGGAAAAUAAUUAUUAUAGUGUAAUCAAAGAGAUUCUAGAAUUGUCAUAUUUAGAUUGGCUAAAUAAGAAGAUCAUACUUCUCCGAUGCAAGUGGUUUGACCCAACAACUAGAAGAGGUACAAAUGUGCACUCAUAACCUAACAUAAUUGAGGUUAAUAAAAAGAGGAAGUAUGAUCGCUAUGAUUCUUUUAUAAUUGCAGAAAAAGUUAGGCAAGUAUACUAUGCUCCAUAUCCAUUAUGGAGGGAUAAGGAUGAUUGAUUGGUUGUAGUCAAAACAAAGCAUGUUGGUAGGGUAGAAGUUGAGAACGUGUUCGGUAUUGCUUACCAAAACGAUACCUCAAAUGUUAACCAAAUGGUGGAUGAUUAGUUAGAAAAUGACUCCUCAAUGCAUAUUAAAAGAAGUUGAUAUGGAGGAAAUAACAAUCAUAGAAAAUGAAGAUGAAGAAUCACCUAAUGAAAAUGAAAUAAGUAAAUAGGAAGGAUUUUAGACGAGGAAGGAUAUGUCGAAGGCGACUAGCAUGUUAGUUUUUUCGAAGGCUCUCAACUUAUAAAGAUUUAUAUUCUCAAGUCUAGAAUUUUAUUUAAUUUAUGCAGACGACUUGUAGGGGUCGAGGUAGAUCUAGGAAGGAUAAAAGGCCUAUUAAUGAUGAUGAUGGUGUUACACCCUCGCUUCCUUCCACUCCACACUUGCAUUUCUCAGCUACUAAUGGCCGGAAAUAAUCUUCUAAGCACACAUCCAUCUACGCAUCAGACUACAUAUCAUUCACCCUCCCAUCAAUAUUAUUACUAUUCUCCACCAUAGGACAAUACCCCACUUCCUUCGUAUGAUCUUACAUGUAGUUACAUGGGUCCCUCGAGUCAGCAGUCACAGAGCCACGUUGUACGCCCGUCAUCUGCUCCAUUUGCUUCAUCAUCAACUGGAUCACAUCCAUCUAGAUUUCAGCCAGUUGGAUCACAGCAAAGGUCUAGAUCGAUGCAAGGGUGUGGAUCACAACCAUCUUCAUCGGGGACCCCAUCUCGCUCUCCAUGGAAUUCGUCUUCGAGCAUUUCUAGACUUCAUCUUCGGGAUAGUAGUGUUGAGCCAGAUGCCACCCCCUCUAUGCAUGCUUCAGUUUUAUCAGAGGAUGAUGAUCCAAAUGAAGUGCAAUAUGAUCGUUAUCAUAAAAUGAUCAUCAAGGCUGAGGGAAAUGGGUAAGAUUUAUUUAUUACUUCUUUAUUUUUGUUGAAUUAUAAUAGAUACUCUUGUUUAUUUAAUGUAACUUUUAUGUUGCGGGUUCAUGCCUAAUCAACAGGUUACAGAGAUAUUUAUUGAAAUUCUUGGCCGGUUGUAUGAUGCACCUUAUCCGACUUGGAGUGACUUUCCACCGAAGCUCAUGCAUCAAAUUUUUAACAAAGUUAAGGUUUUAAUACAAUUCUUAUCUACUUAAGCAUUAUAUCAAAAACAUUUUCAUCUAACAUUACAUACUUUAUUUUUAGAGUAAGUGUUCCUGGGAGAAUCGCUAUAAUAGUGAAAUCUAUGUAAAUUUUGUAUUCAAAUACCGUAGGAGACUAUCUGAUUCUUCUGCUUCGCUCGAAAGAAGAACAAGAAGCCUUCAUGAGUUCUACCGCAUUUAUGGGAGGAUCUGGUGAGGCUCUGGAUCACUGAGAAAUUCGAGAAGAAGAACGAACAUGGAAAGAAAGCACGAGCAUCUGAGAAGGGUGACUCCUUGCAUUGUGUGGGUGCAAGGAGCAUGGGGGCUACGAAGAGACUACUGGCAAUUCCUUAAAAUAUUUACCUCUAUUUUUAUCAAACUAUAUUUAUAUAUGAUAAUUUAGUAACACGUUUUAUUAUAUUCGUAGGGAAAAAGAUAUGGGAGGAAGAUGACUCAUGAUGAGUUCUUCAUGGAGACUAGCAUCCAGAAGAAGAAAGCACCGACAGAUCCAAUUAGAUAGGUCGAGGACUGUGAGGAGACUGCAUAUGUAAGUUUCAUAAUUACUAUAUAUAUAUUUAUAAUAUUAUAUAGUUAAUAAUUUUCUCUCUUGUAAAUAAAGGGUCGCUAUUAGAUUAAUAUGGAGGAGUACACUCAGAGCUUGUCACCGAAUGAGCAAGCGAGCGACCAUCCCUUUCAGACGAAGAGGUGCAGAGGAUGUGGUUGGAUGUUGUCGAUAGUCCUAAUAAGAGGAUAAUAUACAACCUUCCAAAGAGAUCAUUUCGGCGCUACAGGGCCGGAUUGCAAGGUAUAGGGACUUCCGCCCAAGACAAGGGAAUUGAUAGGUAGACUAUCUCGUCUACGGAAAAAAAGAUCUGAAAGGUGACAAUAGACCUUGCAGAGACAAAGGCUAGAGAACAAAAGAGAGAUGAACAAUUUCGUACCCUUUAAGUUCGGCUAGAAAAGAGGUACGAAUAAUUUAAUCUCCUUCAAGGUCAGCUGGCCAAUCUUCUUGCUAGUGAUUUUUUUCCAAUUCCCCUAUCUCGUGCCCUACCUCAUGUGCUAAUCAUUCUCGUCGUGGUCCUUCAAACUAUACCAACGAUGAAGGUUUUAGUAGUGAAAAUGGAGAUGGUGCAAUAUAAAACACCCAUUGAAUAAUGUGUAUUGCCAAACAAAUUCUUGAACUUGUCAAUAUUUAGUUGGGAAUAGUUUUGAAUAAUGAUUGUAUUGUUGAUUUGUUAUUGAACAUUUGUAUAGUUGUUGUUGUGGUUAUCAUUGUUGU